GACGAACGCUGGCGGCGUGCUUAACACAUGCAAGUCGAACGGUGAACGAGGGAGCUUGCUCCCUCCGGAUCAGUGGCGAACGGGUGAGUAACACGUGAGCAAUCUGCCCCGAACUCUGGGAUAAGCGUUGGAAACGACGUCUAAUACCGGAUACGACGCGGGAGGGCAUCCUCUCCGCGUGGAAAGAACUUCGGUUCGGGAUGAGCUCGCGGCCUAUCAGCUUGUUGGUGAGGUAACGGCUCACCAAGGCGACGACGGGUAGCCGGCCUGAGAGGGUGACCGGCCACACUGGGACUGAGACACGGCCCAGACUCCUACGGGAGGCAGCAGUGGGGAAUAUUGCACAAUGGGCGCAAGCCUGAUGCAGCAACGCCGCGUGAGGGACGACGGCCUUCGGGUUGUAAACCUCUUUUAGCAGGGAAGAAGCGAAAGUAACGGUACCUGCAGAAAAAGCACCGGCUAACUACGUG
rnacentral:rRNA from 1 species